GGGAAUAUUGGACAAUGGGCGCAAGCCUGAUCCAGCCAUGCCGCGUGAGUGAUGAAGGCCUUAGGGUUGUAAAGCUCUUUCGCACGCGACGAUAAUGACGGUAGCGUGAGAAGAAGCCCCGGCUAACUUCGUGCCAGCAGCCGCGGUAAUACGAAGGGGGCUAGCGUUGUUCGGAUUUACUGGGCGUAAAGGGCGCGUAGGCGGAUUGAUCAGUCAGGGGUGAAAUGCCAAGGCUCAACCUUGGAACUGCCUUUGAUACUGUUGAUCUCGAGUCCGGGAGAGGUGAGUGGAACUGCGAGUGUAGAGGUGAAAUUCGUAGAUAUUCGCAAGAACACCAGUGGCGAAGGCGGCUCACUGGCCCGGAACUGACGCUGAGGCGCGAAAGCGUGGGGAGCAAAC
rnacentral:rRNA from 1 species